CAACCGCAAGGCUCUCCAGAGGGUGGUGCGGUCUGCACAACGCAUCACCGGGGGAAAACUACCUGCUCUCCAGGACACCUAGAGCACCCGAUGUCACAGGAAGGCCAAAAAGAUCAUCAAGGAGAACAACCACCCGAGCCACUGCCUGUUUAUCCCACUACCAUCCAGAAGGCGAGCAAACAUCUCCUUCGCAUAGAGUUGAUCAGGCUGUUGAUUGUGGCCUGUGGAAUGUUGUCCCACUCCUCUUCAAUGGCUGUGUUGGAUAUUGGCGGGAACUGGAACACGCUGUCGUACACGUCAACCCAGAGCAUCCCAAACAUGCUCAACUGGCGACGUCUGGUGAAUAAGCAGGCCAUGGAAGAACUGGGACAUUUUCAGCUCCCAGGAAUUGUGUACAGAUCCUUGCAUGAUCAUGCUGAAACAUGAGGUGAUGGUGGCGUAUGAAUGGCACUACAAUGGGACUCAGGAUCUCGUCAUGGUAUCUCUGUGCAUUCAAAUUGCCAUCGAUAAAAUGCUAUUGUGUUCAUUGUCCUCAGCUUAUGUCUGCCCAUACCAUAACCCCACCAUGGGGCACUCUGUUUACAACGUGACGGGUGAAGAAGCCAGAUGUGGAGGUCCUGGGCUGGCGUGUUUACACGUAGUCUGCAGUUGUGAGGCCAGUUGGACGUACUGCCAAAUUCUCUAAAACGGCUUAUGGUAAAGAAAUGAACAUUCAAUAACUCUGGUGGACAUUCCUGCAGUCAGCAUGUCAAUUGCACUCUCCCUUAAAACUUGAGACAUCUUUGGCAUUGUGUUGUGUGACAAAACGGCACAUUUUAGAGGGCCUUUUAUUGUCCCCCGCACAAGGUGCACCUGUGUAAUGAUCAUGCUGUUGAAUCAGCUUCUUGAUAUGCCACACCUGUCAGGUGGAUGGAUUAUCGUGGCAAAGGAGAAAUGCUCACUAUCGUAAACAAAUUUGUGCACAAAAUUUGAGAGAAAUUUGAGAGAAAUAAAAAUGUUAUGCAUAUGGAACAUUUUGGGGAUAUUUUAUUUCAGCUCAUGGCACCAACACUUUACAUGUUGCGUUUAUAUUUUUGUUCAAUAUACAUACUGUUUCACAAAAUGUAGCCUAUAGUUGUGAGGGAUUACUUACUGGGCUGUAUUUGUAAGGUCAUCAAAUGUUUUCCUGACCAUGCCCAGGGACUACUUUGGUCUAGUUCUAGGUAUAUGAGAUAUACAUGGACACAUGUUGCUCUCUCAUUCUCUCUAGUGGACUGACUCUCUACCCCUUCUCCCUGAAGUGUGCAAUACUUGUCCCCUUCAUGGAUAUAAAGCAUGGAUUUAAAGCAUUGGAUUGGUGUAGGGAUUAUCUGUAGUUGUCUUGUUAAAUGGAAACAAUUACAUGUGUUAUAAAUAUAUUUCUUACUAAGGUUCCUUCCUUUUCAAUCCACGAGGGGGAAUGAAUCAGUGCACAUUUCAGGGAAGGGUAUAAACGGACCCUAGCCAUUCACUUCAUUGGGAACCAAGUUGGAAUUCCUACAGCAUUGGGCAGUUUAUCUUUUUGUUUCUAGGUAGCUGUUGACAAAUUAAAACAGAAAAUAAGUAUUUUUGUGAAUGAUUGUGUGUUGCGUAAUGGUAUGUCGAGGCUGCAGGUAGCCUAGUGGUUAGCGUGUUGGGCCAGUAACCAAAGGGUUGCCGGACUGAAUCCCCAAGCUGACAAGGUAAAAAUAUGUCUUUCUGCCCCUGAACAACCCACUGUUCCCUGGUAGGCUGUCAUUGUUUGUUCUUAACUGACUUGCCUUGUUAAAUAAAGGUUUUAAAAUUUGAAAAAA
rnacentral:lncRNA from 1 species